AUCGCUUCUCGGCCUUUUGGCUAAGAUCGAGUGUAGAAUGUGGAAUGGUGAAAUAUCUCUCAUUCUUUAUUAUAUCUUUUUUUCUAUAUCUUUU
rnacentral:snRNA from 1 species